GUGCCAAGCAGAGUGGAGGGAGGCGGCUCAUGGGUGUGGUACAGACCCAGGGGAUGAGUCCCCAGUCCCAGUGAUGAUGACAAUGAUGACAAGAGCAGCCACCAUCUGACUGCCUUGUGAGGUACCAGGUACUGGGCUGGGUGCUCUCAGUGCCUCAUCUCCUGACCUCACGGCUACGAGGAAACUGAGGCUUCUUGACAUGCAAUGACUGGCCGGAGUUUCUGUCUUCAGGCCCAUGGCUCUACCUGCCCAGGGCCCGCGCUCCAUCCGCUGAACGGUCCUUGAGCCAGGAGGAGUGGCCCCUGUGCCAGGGGACAAACAGGCAACAGGGACCAGGACAGGAGCUGUCCCUGCCACAGUCCGUGAGCUCUCCGAGCAUUCCAUCAGGUGGAUCUGAGUCACCCAAAUCCCAGCCUUCCCAGUCCCAGUCUUCCCUUGGGCCUGCUGUGCUGACAGAUGGAAGCAGUGAACCAUCGAGCUCAGUGGGGAUUCAGGGCACCUGGGAAACUGGGUGAAGUUCGGGCCCACUGGCCAUGAGCUUGGAGGACUGGUGUGUGAUAAGCUUCUGUGUUCCCACAGACCACUGAGGCCCAGAGAGCUUGCGCAAGAUGAAGAUCUGUUGCCUUUCCUUCCGGCAGCCUUAUUCUGGCUUUGUCUUAAACGGGGUAAAGACCUUAGAAACACGUUGGUGUCCCCUGAUGGGCAACCACCAGAACCAUACCAUCGCCAGGCCUUGCUUCCAGAAGGGGAGAAUUUUGGCCGAGGACUGGUAGCUGAGGAGCAAGCCCUGUCCUCUUCAUUUCUGGAGCCUUCCCUCUGCCUCACCCAGGAUUCCCGGAACAUGUUUGGCUCAUCAUCUGUGCUCAGUGAGAAGGCCCUGCUGCCCUUCCUGUCCUUGUGCUGAUGUUGUAGCUUGUUGACUUUGGCGAAAUGUUGGAGUGUCCUGAGAACUUAGCUCCUGAGGAAGAUGUGGAAUUGGAAAAGCAAGCUGUCCUGGCCAUCCUGCAGCAGAAAUACCUGACUGUGAUUUCCAACCCCAGGUGGUUACUGGAGCCCUUACCUAGCAAAGGGGGAAAGGAUAUAUUCCAGGUUGACAUCCCAAAGCACCUGAUCCCUUUUGACCAGAAGGUGUGACGUGUGUGGGCUCUUGAGAUGAAUGUAGCUGAGAAACCAGCUAAAUCAUGGUACCGUUGAUUCGCCAUCUUGGUGAACUUGCAUGUAGAUCAGGUUAAGUGUGAAUUACCCCUGCAUUGUACCACGAUUCCUACUACAUGGCGUUCACAGAAACGGGUUUCUGUGCUCACAAGAAGGGAA